rnacentral:snoRNA from 1 species
AAUGGCAAAUGAUGUAAAACAAUUUUAUGCUUAAUCACUGAAUCAUUAUGUGGACUAAAACUCCGCUUAUUAUCUGAUGCCAUU